UUUUAAAUUAAAUGCAUUGGGGUGACAUUGGUUAAUAAGAUUAUAUAGGUUUCAAGUGUACAUUCCUAUUAUACAUGAUCUGUAUAAUGCAUUGUGUGCCCAUUCAUUGAAGUUUUUA